UAGGGAAUCUUCGGCAAUGGGGGCAACCCUGACCGAGCAACGCCGCGUGAGUGAAGAAGGUUUUCGGAUCGUAAAGCUCUGUUGUAAGUCAAGAACGGGUGUGAGAGUGGAAAGUUCACACUGUGACGGUAGCUUACCAGAAAGGGACGGCUAACUACGUGCCAGCAGCCGCGGUAAUACGUAGGUCCCGAGCGUUGUCCGGAUUUAUUGGGCGUAAAGCGAGCGCAGGCGGUUUGAUAAGUCUGAAGUUAAAGGCUGUGGCUCAACCAUAGUUCNCUUUGGAAACUGUCAAACUUGAGUGCAGAAGGGGAGAGUGGAAUUCCAUGUGUAGCGGUGAAAUGCGUAGAUAUAUGGAGGAACACCGGUGGCGAAAGCGGCUCUCUGGUCUGUAACUGACGCUGAGGCUCGAAAGCGUGGGGAGCGAACAGGAUUAGAUACCCUGGUAGUCCACGCCGUAAACGAUGAGUGCUAGGUGUUGGAUCCUUUCCGGGAUUCAGUGCCGCAGCUAACGCAUUAAGCACUCCGCCUGGGGAGUACGACCGCAAGG
rnacentral:rRNA from 1 species